rnacentral:rRNA from 1 species
UACGGGGGGGGCAAGCGUUGUUCGGAAUUACUGGGCGUAAAGCGUGCGCAGGCGGUCUGUUAAGACAGAUGUGAAAUCCCCGGGCUUAACCUGGGAACUGCAUUUGUGACUGGCAGGCUAGAGUAUGGCAGAGGGGGGUAGAAUUCCACGUGUAGCAGUGAAAUGCGUAGAGAUGUGGAGGAAUACCGAUGGCGAAGGCAGCCCCCUGGGCCAAUACUGACGCUCAUGCACGAAAGCGUGGGGAGCAAACAGG